AUGAAGUGCACUUCAACAAAGAGGCAGAGUCUUUUACUUGGUGAGUUCAAUGAGCUACAAAAGGGAACAAAUAACUUUGACCACACACGUAUCGUUGGUCGUGGAGGGCAUGGCAUGGUAUACAAAGACAUCCUAUCUGACCAACGAGUAGUGGCCAUUAAAAAGUCUAAAGUCACUUCACAAAUUGAGAUUAGUCAGUUCAUCAACGAGGUUGCUACCCUCUCACAGAUAAAUCACCGAAAUAUUGUGAAGCUCUUUGGAUGUUGCCUUGAGACUGAUGUUCCACUACUUGUGUAUGACUUCAUACCUAAUGGUUCAUUAUUUGGUGUUCUUCAUAAUCCAAACAACAACUCUUCCUUGUCGUGGGAUGAUUGCUUAAGAAUUGCUAUAGAAGCAGCUGGAGCCCUCUUCCUUGGGUACUUAGAUCCAGAAUAUUAUCACACUGGCCUUUUAAAUGAGAAGAGUGAUGUGUACAGUUUCGGUACGGUACUUGUGGAGUUGCUCCUUCGAAAGGAGCCUAUUUUUACCACUGACUCCGGGCUAAAGCAAAACUUAUCCAAUUACUUCCUUUGGGAGAUAAGGGAGAAACCACUUGCUGAAAUUGUAGUUGCUCAAGUUCUCAAGGAAGCAACCGAGGAAGAGAUUAGUGGUGUGGCCGGUGUUGCGGAGAUCUGUUUGCGUCUUCAAGCUUUAGAUUUCCACCAGACCAGCACCCCGCAAUGCAUACCCUAUACAUGGCCGAGGCCGACGGCUGUGGCCAUCCGAAUUGUGUACGUCUUUGGACCAGAUGCUAUUCUAGGAAUCAACCAGCAGCCAUACAUCUGUGCGUGUACAGGAUAUAUCUUGUGGCAAACGGGUAAUGGGUUGGGAUCAAGAUGA
rnacentral:rRNA from 1 species